rnacentral:rRNA from 1 species
UAGGGAAUCUUCGGCAAUGGGGGCAACCCUGACCGAGCAACGCCGCGUGAGUGAAGAAGGUUUUCGGAUCGUAAAGCUCUGUUGUAAGAGAAGAACGUGUGUGAGAGUGGAAAGUUCACACAGUGACGGUAACUUACCAGAAAGGGACGGCUAACUACGUGCCAGCAGCCGCGGUAAUACGUAGGUCCCGAGCGUUGGCCGGAUUUAUUGGGCGUAAAGCGAGCGCAGGCGGUUUAAUAAGUCUGAAGUUAAAGGCAGUGGCUUAACCAUUGUGCGCUUUGGAAACUGUUAAACUUGAGUGCAGAAGGGGAGAGUGGAAUUCCAUGUGUAGCGGUGAAAUGCGUAGAUAUAUGGAGGAGCACCGGUGGCGAAAGCGGCUCUCUGGUCUGUAACUGACGCUGAGGCGCGAAAGCGUGGGGAGCAAACAGG